rnacentral:rRNA from 1 species
UACGGAGGGUGCGAGCGUUGCUCGGAAUUAUUGGGCGUAAAGGGUAGGUAGGUGGUCUCAUUUGUCGGGGGUGAAAGCCUUGGGCUUAACCCAAGAAGUGCCUUCGAAACGGUGAGACUGGAGUCCUGGAGAGGGUCGUGGAAUUCCCGGUGUAGCGGUGAAAUGCGUAGAGAUCGGGAGGAACACCAGAGGCGAAGGCGGCGACCUGGACAGGUACUGACACUCAACUACGAAAGCGUGGGGAGCAAACAGG